rnacentral:rRNA from 1 species
CUACGGGCGGCUGCAGUGAGGAAUAUUGCACAAUGGGGGGAACCCUGAUGCAGCAACGCCGCGUGGAGGAUGGCGCAUUUCGGUGUGUAAACUCCUUUUAUAUGUCAAGAAAAUGACGGUAGCAUAUGAAUAAGCACCGGCUAACUCCGUGCCAGCAGCCGCGGUAAUACGGAGGGUGCAAGCGUUACUCGGAAUCACUGGGCGUAAAGGACGCGUAGGCGGGUUAUCAAGUCAGGUGUGAAAUCCUACAGCUUAACUGUAGAACUGCACUUGAAACUGGUAACCUAGAGUAUGGGAGGGGCAGAUGGAAUUAGUGGUGUAGGGGUAAAAUCCGUAGAUAUCACUAGGAAUACCUAAAGCGAAGGCGAUCUCCUGGAACAUUACUGACGCUAAGGCGUGAAAGCGUGGGGAGCAAACAGGAUUAGAUACCCCCGUAGUC